GGAUUAGGCAUGCAAGUCGAGCGCGAUUCCCGCAAGGGAGGAAAGCGGCGAAAGGGAGAGGAACACGUGGAUUAUCUACCCUCCGGCCUGGGAUAGCUACGGGAAACUGUAGGUAAUACCAGAUGACGUCUUCGGACCAAAGGUGUGAUUCCACCGGGGGAUGAGUUCGCGUCCUAUUAGCUUGUUGGUGGGGUAACGGCCCACCAAGGCCAUGAUGGGUACCGGGUGUGAGAGCAUGGCCCGGCUCACUGGGACUGAGACACUGCCCAGACACCUACGGGUGGUUGCAGUCGAGAAUCUUCGGCAAUGGGCGCAAGCCUGACCGAGCGACGCCGCGUGCGGGAUGAAGGCCCUUGGGUUGUAAACCGCUGUCAGAGGGGAUGAAAUGCGGGUGGGUUCUCCCAUCCGUUUGACAUAGCCUCAGAGGAAGCACGGGCUAAGUUCGUGCCAGCAGCCGCGGUAAUA
rnacentral:rRNA from 1 species